rnacentral:rRNA from 1 species
AGUGAACGCUGGCGGUAGGCCUAACACAUGCAAGUCGAACGGCAGCACAGUAAGAGCUUGCUCUUACGGGUGGCGAGUGGCGGGCGGGUGAGGAAUACAUCGGAAUCUACUUUUUCGUGGGGGAUAACGUAGGGAAACUUACGCUAAUACCGCAUACGACCUACGGGUGAAAGCAGGGGAUCUUCGGACCUUGCGCGAUUGAAUGAGCCGAUGUCGGAUUAGCUAGUUGGCGGGGUAAAGGCCCACCAAGGCGACGAUCCGUAGCUGGUCUGAGAGGAUGAUCAGCCACACUGGAACUGAGACACGGUCCAGACUCCUACGGGAGGCAGCAGUGGGGAAUAUUGGACAAUGGGCGAAAGCCUGAUCCAGCCAUACCGCGUGGGUGAAGAAGGCCUUCGGGUUGUAAAGCCCUUUUGUUGGGAAAGAAAAGCAGCAGGUUAAUACCCCGCUGUUCUGACGGUACCCAAAGAAUAAGCACCGGCUAACUUCGUG